AACGUAGGAGACAAACGUUAUCCGGAGUUACUGGGCGUAAAGGGCGUGUAGGUGGUGGAGUAAGUCUGGCGUGAAAUUUUUCGGCUUAACCGGGAAAGGUCGUCGGAUACUGCUUAACUAGAGGACGGUAGAGGCGUGUGGAAUUCCGGGUGUAGUGGUGAAAUGCGUAGAGAUCCGGAGGAACACCAGUGGCGAAGGCGACACGCUGGGCCGUACCUGACACUGAUGCGCGACAGCAUGGGGAGCAAACAGG
rnacentral:rRNA from 1 species